UGUUUCAGAUAAACUGAAUGC
rnacentral:siRNA from 1 species